GUCAGCAAGAACAGCUGACUGAAAGCAAACAUGCGCAUUGCGUAAUCUCUUUCUCUAUCAUUCUUGAUGUAUAACUAUAAUAUAGUGCUUUCAAUUGUAUUGCGCAUUCAUCAUCCGUACGCAAUAUUUAUUAAAAAUUCCUUGCAUAAAUCUCACACAAUUCAACAAGAAAUGAAUAUGCUGUUAUUAUAAAAGUCAUUAAUUGUUUUACCGUGAUACGAAAAAUUGUAGUCGUAAAGUGUAGUUCCACAUAAAAAAAUUUAUUUGGAAAUAUUUUACAAUAAAUCCCUUGCUACUUUAAUAAAAUACUGUUAAUAGGGGUAUUCAGACCAGCCUUUUUAAUUCGUUAGUCGUUAUUCGGUAGUUUUUUACAUGUAUUUUGUUUUUGUAAAAUUAACAGACUAUCGUUCUACCGAGUAACGAACUAUCCAUCUGGCAAGCUUGGUAAUUGUUUCGUUACUCGUUAAUAUCACAUCAGCUGUUUGUUUGUUGUUCGUUGCUUUAUAUAUUUCUAAACGGGAAAAAUUAAUUUGGUGCUCACUUCGUGAAUUUGGAAAAAUUUUGCAAAAUGGAACCUCAAAAGAAAAUACGCAGGAGGGCAAAGCCUAAAAAAAAUGGAGUGAGGAGGAAAACCAUUUGGUUCUAGAAUAUUUAAUACGUCUUUUUAUAGAAACCAAACGCCCAAUUGUACUACCGAAAAUUAAUUCAAACAACAAAUAUCAAUGCGACUACGGACAUGUUGCGCUGCAAGGUCCGGUUCUGGAAGCAGAUGUAUAAUAAAGCAUAAGCACAGGUGCUGGAAUAGACGUUGGCGAUCAUGUUUCCUCAAUAAAAGGUAAAUACGGCUAUAAUGUUAAUUGAAACUUUUUUGGUUUUUUAAUAAUUCUCCGUUCUUUCCGCAAAACUUUCACAAAUGUGUCUGAAUUAUAAACGGUUUUCGGUUCUAUUUGGGAGUAAAUCCGAAGCCAAUUGUGUUGUAGACGUGCAACUCUGAAGUGUCACAAUACUGCAGCGAUUUUGCAGACCUUGUAGAGGUAGUGGAAAAUCCAGCCGAAUCAUCACAAUUAUCUGCGGAAACAUCGGGUUCUCUUAACGACAAAGCAGAACAGACAACAGUAGGAGAAGAGGUAGCAACAGUUCCUCCUACCAUACCAUCGUUCCUCGAAAAAGUGAAAAAACGUGCUCCAAAGAAUAUACAAAAGAAAAGAGAACAGUUUUUUGAGCAACGAAUAGAAAUUGAAAAAGAAAAGUUAAAGCUAGAAUUGGACAGAGAAAAGUUAAAUAAAGAUUUUGAAAUAAAAAAAUUGGAGUUAGAGCAAAAAGAAAGACUCGCACUGAUUGAAAUAACGUACAAAUAUAAUAUAUAACAAUUUUAUAUGUUUUGUAUAAUAAUAUUUAAGAAUGUUUGUGUAAUAAGAAUGAAUUUUAUAUGCAAUUGCUAUGUUGGGUAACAUUUAGAUUAGCAUCCCCGGAUUUCGGGGAUAAAAUGGGUGUCACUGGAAAGGUGGCGUUCUCCAGAUCUCGAAAAUAUAUACAUUUAGUUGCCGCUGA